GUGAGUAGUUCAGAGUUUGAUCCUGGCUCAGGAUGAACGCUAGCUACAGGCUUAACACAUGCAAGUCGAGCGAACCACUUCGGUGGUGAGCGGCGAACGGGUGAGUAACACGUAGGUGAUCUGCCCAUCAGACGGGGACAACGAUUGGAAACGAUCGCUAAUACCGGAUAGGACGAAAGUUUAAAGGUGCUCCUGGCACCGCUGAUGGAUGAGCCUGCGGCGCAUUAGCUAGUUGGUAGGGUAAAGGCCUACCAAGGCGACGAUGCGUAGCCGACCUGAGAGGGUGAACGGCCACAUUGGGACUGAGACACGGCCCAA
rnacentral:rRNA from 1 species